rnacentral:rRNA from 1 species
CGUACACUCCUACGGGAGGCAGCAGUGGGGAAUAUUGGACAAUGGGCGCAAGCCUGAUCCAGCCAUGCCGCGUGAGUGAUGAAGGCCCUAGGGUUGUAAAGCUCUUUCACCGGAGAAGAUAAUGACGGUAUCCGGAGAAGAAGCCCCGGCUAACUUCGUGCCAGCAGCCGCGGUAAUACGAAGGGGGCUAGCGUUGUUCGGAAUUACUGGGCGUAAAGCGCACGUAGGCGGAUCGAUCAGUCAGGGGUGAAAUCCCAGGGCUCAACCCUGGAACUGCCUUUGAUACUGUCGAUCUGGAGUAUGGAAGAGGUGAGUGGAAUUCCGAGUGUAGAGGUGAAAUUCGUAGAUAUUCGGAGGAACACCAGUGGCGAAGGCGGCUCACUGGUCCAUUACUGACGCUGAGGUGCGAAAGCGUGGGGAGCAAACAGGAUUAGAAACCCUUGUAGUCC